rnacentral:lncRNA from 1 species
AGAGCAAAGAAAAUUGUUUGUUACGCGAUAUAUACUCACUUGGUAAGAAUGAUUAAUUUUUUAAGAUAAAAUUUGUGCAUUUAUUUUGUGUGUUCUAUCAUAAUCGGAAACAAUACACCUUAUCGCUAUUUGUCCGCCAUUACUGGAUAUCACACAGGUUCCCGUAAAAUUUUGACGUCAUAAAACAAAACAUCUGACGCCACAAUGCAAAAGUGAUUGUUGUAUGCGUCAAAAGUUCAAGUGGCCGGG